UACGUAGGGGGGCUAGCGUUGUCCGGAAUCAUUGGGCGUAAAGCGCGCGUAGGCGGCCCGGUAAGUCCGCUGUGAAAGUCCAGGGCUCAACCCUGGAAAGCCGGUGGAUACUGCCGGGCUAGAGUCCGGAAGAGGCGAGUGGAAUUCCUGGUGUAGCGGUGGAAUGCGCAGAUAUCAGGAGGAACACCGAUGGCGAAGGCGGCUCUCUAGUACGGUACUGACGCUGAGACGCGAAAGCGUGGGGAGCGAACAGGG
rnacentral:rRNA from 1 species